UACGGAGGGUGCAAGCGUCGUCCGGAUUUAUUGGGUUUAAAGGGUGCGUAGGCGGCUCUUUAAGUCAGUGGUGAAAUCCUACAGCUUAACUGUAGAACAGCCAUUGAUACUGAAGAGCUUGAGUACAGACGAGGUAGGCGGAAUUUAUGGUGUAGCGGUGAAAUGCAUAGAUACCAUAAAGAACUCCUAUUGCGAAGGCAGCUUACUAGGCUGUAACUGACGCUGAGGUGCGAAAGCGUGGGGAGCAAACAGG
rnacentral:rRNA from 1 species